rnacentral:tRNA from 1 species
GUUUUAUAGUAAAUUAAAUAUAUUAGAUUGCAAAUCUAAAGAUGUGGUAGCACUGAAACUUA